UACGGAGGGGGCUAGCGUUGUUCGGAAUUACUGGGCGUAAAGGGCGCGUAGGCGGCGCGAUAAGUUGGGCGUGAAAGGCCCGGGCUCAACCCGGGGACUGCGCUUGAUACUGUCGCGCUGUGAGUCCGGGAGAGGAUGGCGGAAUUCCCAGUGUAGAGGUGAAAUUCGUAGAUAUUGGGAAGAACACCGGUGGCGAAGGCGGCAACCUGGGCCAAUAUUGACGCUGAGGUGCGAAAGCGUGGGGAGCAAACAGG
rnacentral:rRNA from 1 species